UCUCAUUUAUAGAACAACUGUAAUUGAAGGACAAUAUUAAAAAAAAUUUUUUGGUUCAUUUUUUCGGAGCUGGGGACCGAACCCAGGGCCUUGCGCUUCCUAGGUAAGCGCUCUACCACUGAGCUAAAUCCCCAGCCCCGGACAAUAUUAAAAUUAAGGAUAAUCCUUUCCUUCAUUCUUUUUUCUUUCUUCUGUUUUUCUUUCUUUCCUCAUUCCUUCCUGGGAUCACUCUACAAAAUGGACUGUUAUGUGAGGUACACUUAAGUGACUUCUACCUUAUGCUAGAGAAAAAUAUGAAGAGCAUCCACCCCACCCCCCAACCAAUAGCAGUGUACACAAUAAAACAGGUAUUAGUUUCUCUGCCUUAGGGCCUCUGUGAGUUCAUGAUAAUUUUUCUGUCUAUAAAUACACACACAUGCAUAUGCACACAUUUUCAUAAAAUAUAUUUCAAAACAGGUGCUUAUUCUGAAUCUCAUUUUAUGUCAAGGGCCAGAAGUGUUUCCUUUCCACUCUCAACAUGUAAAUUGGAUUAUAUCCCUAUCAUCUAGAAGAUAGGAAGCACAGAGAACAACAACAAAAAGACAAGGCAAAGAACUUUAGAGAGUGAUCGAUUGAUCACUUUGGUUCAUUUCUUUCCUCUGUCACCAUGACCUGUAAUCCAAACAAAAGAGAACAUUAAGAAAACAUAAAACAAACCACCUCAGAGUCCUUGUGUUGCUUCCAAGUCCAAGUUGUAAAAGACAGAUGCAAUGAUAAUCAGAGUGCUCAGUGGAAGUGGGUAUGAAAGACCCACCCCAUGAGUCUUAACUCAGAGUUGCAACAGGCUUGAACGAGCCCAGGCACGCCCAUAUACCUAGGGCCGAGUCACCGUGAAAACUAACAGACCAUAAAAGGAAAGGAAUGCAGAACAGACCAGGAGUACCACUCACAGGCCACCUGGCAGGAAGAGAUAAGCCCCCAGCCCCCGACAUCCAGGACGCCCCAAACCUGCCAAUGUGUGUAGCUAUACCUUAUUACCUCAUCAUGUGAAAUAGCCAAUCAUAUGUGAACAUGUCUAUGUGCCUCGUUUGAAUCCACCAAUCCCCGUAACUGUGCAUCUGCUUCUGUACGCCCGCUUCUGCUUCCCCAAUCCCUAUAAAAGCCCCAUGCUGGAGCUGCUGGGCGCGCAAGUCCUCCGAAGAGACUGUGUGCCCGCAGGUACCUGUGUUUUCCAAUAAACCCUCUUGCUGAUUGCAUCCGAGUGGACUCGGCUCGGUCAUUGGGCGCUUGGGACUCCUCCUGAGGGAAAGGUCCUCUCUGGGGGUCUUUCAUUAUGGGGGCUCGUCCGGGAUUUGGAGACCCUCUGCCCAGAGACCACCGACCACCCACCGGGAGGAAAGACAGAAUCCUGCUAGAGGCCAGAAAGAAUGUUCCAGACCUGGAUGGAAGGCUCCUGACUGUUGACUUCAAUACGCCUGAAGGUAGGGAGUGCUCCAGGUCUGCCCCCAGGCUCCAACGGUGGGUCUCCUAGGGGCUGGAAAAUGCCCCACCAAUCUGGCUAAAGAUAAGGAAAGGGUAUGAAGAGAAAGUUACAGAAAUUUGAAGGGUUAAGCUACGUUGCUGAGAGUUAGUAUAAGUUACAGAGAAAGUAAGGUUAAACAAAGAGAAAGAGAAAAGAAGGUAAAAAGAGCAGAAAGCUAGGGAAGAAAAGAGACAAAAAGAAGAGGAAGCUAGAGAGCUAAAGAGAGAUAAAAGACAAGAGAGGAACAUAUACUGGCCACAGUAGUUAGGGAACCUAGGAAGACAGUACCUGGCAACAGAAGAGAAUCCCUGGCUAAAGAUCAGCGUGCCUAAUACAAAGAAAAAGGACACUGGGUCAGGGACUGCCCAAGAAAGAACAAGAGGGGCCACUGGAGAGCUUCUUGGUCCUAGAGUGCUGGCUAUAGAAGGGAAGUGUGGAUAUAGGGACCCAAUGCUCUGUGCUCCUAUGCCCCAGUGGGCCAGUAUCCAAAGACCUUGAGCGCAAGGGGCUACUGGCAACGAACAAUACCUAUGGACUGCCCGAAGAACAGUGGACCUUGGCGUGGGCCGGGUAACCCACUAGUUCAUAGUCAUCCCUGACUGCCCCUAUCCCUUGCUCAUGAGAAAAUUGCUGUCCAAAAUGGCUUGCGUGGGCUGAAAUGGCUGGGUGAGGCCAUGUGUAUGCAUAUCUGCAGACUGUGUAUGUGGAGCUUAAGACCUGUCUCAGUGCACCAGUACCUGAUGCUGGGAGAUGAAUGGCUUAGUGCUGUUCUGCCUGGAACAUAUCAUUCCUGCCAGCCGGGCACUAACAAUUAUCACCCAAUCCAGGACUUAAACUGUGAUAGAGUGGCUGAUGUUUUGCCUUUGAAUAGAGUGUCCCAAAAGAUGGGACCACUGGUCAGCUGCCAUGGACUAGAUUCUCCACCGGUUGGGGACAAUCUGGUCACCUUGCUGCCCAAUCCGGACCUGGAGCCACCACAGCACGAGUGUCAAGCACUGGCAGAAGCCCAUGGAUGGAGGAAAGACCUCUGCGACUGGCUGAUUGACCCCUGCUGAAAGCCGAGGACCUUGUCCACAGACGGGAACAGUUCUCUUCAUGAAGGUCAGAGAUAAGUGGGUGCUGCCAUGGUGGACAACACAAUGUCAUCUGGGAUGGCUGAACCUCUACCCCCCCCAGCACAUCAGCACUUCAGAUGCUUUUACCAUCUCUUGGAUGCCCUGGUGAAGCCAACAACUGUGAGUACUAUUCAUUGCUCAAGAUAUCAGGAGGGAAGAGAUUCAGUGGCAUGGGGCAAUAACGUAGCAGAUCAAGCGGCUCGAAAAAUGGCUAUGCAGGAGCCUAUCCUGGUUGCAGGCCUGCAAGAGACAGCCACUGAGAACUAGGAUCGGACUAAGGGAUGGCCUCACUUAGAAAAGGCCCAAAUUGCUUAAAAGAUAAAAGACAAUGGCACACUUGAGGGGAAAGCUAUACUCCCCAGAGAAAAAAAGAAAAGACUCACUUUGCCAAAUACAGAAAUGGACUCAUUUAGGAGAUAAAAAGUUUAUCCAAGUAGUUAAGUGUAUGUAAUAGACUUUAAGAUUUUAGCCAGAGAGGCAGUAGAAAGUAUAAGGUAUGUCAAUAAGUGAAUGCUUAGCAAGCAAACAGGGCAAAGAGACCUAGAGAGUUUGGUGGAAAGUCGAAGUGAACUUCACUGAGAUAAAACCAGAAAAAUAGAAUCACAAGUAUCUCCUAGUGCUUGUAGAUACUUUUUCAGGAAUAGAUAGAAGCUUUCCUCACCAAACGAGAGACGGCCUCUGCAAUCAUCAAGAAGAUACUGGAAGAAAUCUUCCUCCGAUUUGGAAUGCCCAAGGUAAUCUGGUCAGACAAUGGCCCUACUUUCGUUGCCAAGGUAAGCCAGGGUGUGGCCAAGUAUUUAGAGGUCGAUUGGAAAUUACAUUGUAUUUACAGACCUCAAAGUUCAGGACAGGUAGAGUAAAUAAAUAGAACUCUAAAAGAGACCCUGACCAAAUUGACCAUGGAGACUGGCGCAGACUGGGUGACACUCCUUCCCUCUUGCUCUCUUCAGAUCAAGAAAUACCCCUUCCAGAUUCAGCCUUACCCCCUUUGAGAUCUUAUAUGGGGCCUCAGCCCCCCACCCCCGAAUGUAUUAGAUGAUGUUACUGAACCAACAUGUCAUAGUGCCAUAGUAAUAAUGAUUUGUGUGCCAGGCUAAAAGACCUACAGGUGAUACAGAAAGAAAUCUGCUCACAGCUGACAGCAGCCUAUGCCCCGGAGACCCCUGAGACAUCCCAUCAGUUCCAGGUCGGAGAUUGCAGCUACACUGAGCCCAGACACUUGAGCCUCGCUGGAAAGGACCGUACCUGGUACUGCUGACCACCCUGAGAGCUGUCAAUUCUCAGCCCUCACCAGCCUCGUACUAGCUGUUGGGGUUGAGAGCUGGGACCUAGAGGGAAAUUCAGUCAUGUUUGUCCUGGGUUCUAUCAAGAUAGGUGUGGGAUAGGCUUGAUUUCCAUUACAAAUGAUGUAACAUUGCAUAUGUUAGUACUCUUAACACUUCUUGGGACUGUGCCUCAGGGAUCACAGUCUGUAUAAGCUUAGAAGUUCUAAAAGCUAGUCAUGACCUUGGUGGAUAGGCUUGGAUAGUGUCCAGGUUAGAAUCCUCAUGUUAAGACUACAAUACCAAGCUGUUAUGCUAGAUGAAGCUGAGUUCUCCAUGAAGUUCUAGGAUUAGAACUAUUAACAAAAAAAAAGAAGUGGGGAAUGUAGAACUAGAGUUUCAUAAAGGUUAGUCAUUGUCAGAGCCCGAAUGUGCAGAACUAGAGUUUCAUAAAGGUUGCUCAUUGUCAGAGUCCAGAUGUGCAGGGCGGGACGUGCCUGAGGGAGAGCCAGAGAUAGGACUUGCCAAACCAGCUAUCAGCCCCAAGGACACUGACCAUCCGUAGCUACCCCCUCCCCUUCCUUCACCCCCCUGAGUGAGAUGAGUCACCCUACCUGCCUGCCGAGCUGCUGGAGAGCACGUACUCCUUGCUGAUGUAGUUUCGCGCCAAAAGUAACUGUGCACCAUUUGAAUUGACCAAUCAUGUGUAACCGAGCGAAUGCCCCUUACCUCCCCUAUAAACCCCUCCCCCCGAGUUUAGAAGCUUGGGGUCGAUUCCUCUGUCUCCUGUGUGAGAUACGUGUCGACCCGGGAUCCUGCUAAGACCUGGGAUCUCGUUAAUAAAGCUACCUCUUGCUGUUACAUCAAGAAUGGCUCCUCCUGAUUCCUGGGGGCACCCCACCCUGCGAUCGGAGCGAGAGACGCGGCUCCCCGUUUUGGGGUACGCUCUUUCACAUAAAUUCUGGGAAUAAAUGCAGCUCAAGGUACAGCACUGGCCUCGCAUGUGCAGGCCUCUGUCUUAUCUGCAGCAAAAGCAAAAAAGACAAAAUUUAGGGCCGAGGUUAAAUUAGAAAACAUUUGAAAAUGGUUCUGAUUAUAAUUAGCUGCGAUGUGCUUCCAUUACAAACUGGAAACAAACUGAAGCACGUCCUAAGUCCACGUGGUUUCGUUCCUGGGGUCCAGCUUAGCUGACUGUGUGUCACUUGGUGGCAUGUGCUUCCGGGUUAGCAGAAGGCUCAGCGCUCGAAGGGUCCUCGCUAGCUGAAAGCCUGAGAGCUGCUGCACCGGCUUUACUUUGACCACAGCACUGGUUUCUUCUGUGGUUCUGUAAGUAUCUCAGAUCUUCCGAAUACCGCACUGUUGGGCUUUCAGCUGCCUGAUAACAAAAAGUACGUCCUAGUAGAAGAGAGGAGGAACAGUUGGCCGAGUUUUAAAAUUGGGCUCCAGGGUUGGCUUCCACCCCUGAAACUCUUCCCAGGGUCUUGUCUGUCAAUGGUGGUGUCUGUUGGACUUUGUAAAGUUUUGUUGACUGCAAAUGGAGCAGCAUUUGCAUUUCAAGCAUUUCUGUUUUUCAGUGUUUCAGUCCCUUGUUCAAGUUUUCCUUCCUAUUUUGAACUUUUGCCUACAAUUUUCUAACAAGAAACAGAGGAAUAGAAAAUUAGUGAACAUAGUCAUUUGUUUACCCAUUUCUUACACCUGAUCCCGGCAGCCCCAGUUUUCUUGGGCCCUACCUUGGGGUGUUUCCCUUCCCCCUCUUAGCCUGCAAUAGCAAGAAGUUGUUUGCACCCUUGGCAGCUGCUCUCGGCCCUGAUUUGGGCCUGAGACUGUCCAUGGCACCCUUCUCCCUCAAGCUUGUUGUUGUUAAGAAGUUGUUUACGCUCCUGAUUUGGGCCGGGGACUUUCCACAACACAGAUUUCUCCCAUUCUCCUGUUUUCCUGUGUAUGGUGAAUGUGAGGGCACAUACAUAUUAUGGCACAUGUGUGAAGAUCAGGGUAACUUUGUGGAAUUGGUUCUGUUUACCUUUGCAUGAGCUCUGGGACUUGCACUCAGGUCUUUAGGUUUAUGUGGUAAAAGCUUUUUUAUCCCCUCUGAGCCAUGUUGCCAGGCCUCACAUAGCUUUCUGGAAGUGUAUUUUUAGGAAUAAACAUGGAACUAUCUGCACAGCCUAAGCCUUGACCAGGGACCCAUCUGCUGCUUCUGCAUUGUCAGCCUUAGCCCCUAAGCCAGCCUUCUCCAAAGACCUAGACACUCAGAUUGUUUUCUCAAUGAUUGAGCCGCAUGUCUCCCAACAAGGAACUAACAGGACAGUCAAAUUAUGUGUUCCCUGAAUUACGUUUCUGAGUCUGAAGCAUUAGAAAAGUAUUUUGCUUUCCAAAACAUAUUCUGUACUUUACAAGCAUUAGUUACUGUUGCUUGUAAAACAGCAGAGCCAGCCUGAUACAUAAGUACGUGAGGUCAAACACAAGUCAAAUUGCUUUUUUACUUUCAAAUCCCCAAUCGUUAUUUAGCUGUCAUGUUCUUACCCUUUCUGUAGACGGUGGCACUGUUUACAAUGAAUUCCAACCAUUAAUUUAUAAGAGCUACCCCUACUUGAAAGCAGCCCCCUUCCCUCCCAUCCUUUUUCUUCCCUCUCUUGUCUCCUUUUCUUUUCUGCUCUUUCUGUUUUAUUUUUGAGACAAGGUCUCCAUGUGUAGCUCAGGUUGGCCUCAAACUCUCCACUCUUCUGCCUUAAUGUCCAAGCUCUAGACAUGUAGGCACGUCAUACCACAUGCGUGUAUGGCAACCUUUUCAUUCAGAUUCUCUUUUCUGCAGUAGUGGUGGCUUUUCCUUUAUAUAAAAGCUAAACCUAACUUUCUUUCCCUCUCCAAUUAUUUUUAAAUUUUUAAUUUAAUUAAUUACUUAAUUUUUAUGAUUUCCUUCUAUUCCCAGGACCUCUCCUAAGAAAGACAGAACAAAUCGUGGCGCUCCUGGGCUCAGAACGAAUUACAGAGAGAAAUCCCGAGAGUUUGCUGUGGCGUUCAAGGCCCUUGGAGCCAUCUGGAAGGGGCUUUUCUGCUUCCUGUUGAUGUUUUCCACCCACACGGGGCUGCCUCCCCUGUCUGCCCAGUGCCCACAAGGAGCCCUCAGGCCCUGACAUUCCUCAGGGCUCAUUGCUUCUUUCUCCAUCUGGACUCUCUCUCCUCUCAGCCCCACGACGUCCUCUCUCAUCUUCUGUUGCACCCAGUAAUUGCCCGUGCACUGCCCUCUCCUUUCCAACUCUGGUUCAGUCCUGCUGUGGGUUGGCCUGAUGCUGUUCACAUUCUGAUGUUAAUUCUGCUUCCUCCCAGGGCUGUGCCAGGCGAGCACAGUAGUACUAGGUCACAGGCGAGCCUUCUCCCCAUUUUAACUGGACAAUAAAGGCCGGAGUCUGUGAUUGGGCAGUGGAGGGGAAAGGCGGGGUGGGAGUUCUUAGAGAGUGGGGCAGGUAGAGAGGAGAUGAGGAGGAAGGGAAGGAGAGAGGACGCAGGAGGAAGAAGCAGGAUGGACCAGAACCCUGUGGCCAGGAGAAACCGCAAGUAGGAAGGGGGUCCUGUAGCUGGGGAAUAAGUUAGUGUCCUGUUGUAUCUGCCCAAUCUCGGCAUAGAGUUAUGAUUCUAACAGCUGGGUUGUGUGGUUUUUAAGGGGUUGGAAAUUCCAGCAACACUGUCCAUCUUAAAUUCUAGAUGUUCUUUCUUCUACCUUCCUCAAAGGUUGCUAUUUCUUAGUAAAGGUCGGUGCCCCCUGCUUCCACUCCCCUUGUUGCUUUGUAAGUCAUAGAUGUUUAAAACAUUUUUGCUAGAUCUGGAAAGUCACCAAGUGUUAGACUUGAGAGAACCAGGCCCCAACUCAGGCCACAGAGCCUUGUAAGAAUGAGAAGUUGAACUUACCAAAAUAGACUGCUGGAAUGAGUCAGCCUGGUCUUAUUUUUUCCCUAAACCGAAUGGUUCACAUACGUAUUAUUGAACUAACCUAUUAGUGUAGAACCUUACAAAUAUUAGAAAAUCCAGUGUUUUCCAAAUAAAACGUGCCCAUCUAUUCAAAUAGAAAUCAUCUUGUCAGUUUAAUAUAAGAGGGGGUAUAUAUAUAUAGAUAUAUAUAUAUAGAUAGAUAGAUAGAGAGAGAGAGAGAGAGAGAGAGAGAGAGAGAGAGAGAGCUUUCAUUUAAAUACAUUGAGAAUGGACUCAAGCUAGUAAUGGAUCAUAGCAGUAGAAAUUUUGUUUAUACCCAUUACUUGAUAUGCAAAACCUCAUUUAUGAUACACACUGCUUACUAGAGGAACAAUGGAUAGAGGUGAAGAGACUAUGAUGACAACAGAUUGAGGUUGUGUAAUUCCCAGAAUUAACCCCUUAUGCCUCACCUGCCCAGGGACCAGAUAACUUCCUGGGAAGCUGGAAGCUGUCGUUCUUAGAAAACAACAAAGUCCCAUGGGAAAAUAAGUGUCCUAUAGGUUUGUCCUUAUAAACCCCUGCAAUGCAUGGCUUGAGGCCAUUAUCAGCUGGAAAUUUCAGGAAAUGGUCCUGAGCAAAGUCUAUCCCUUGGUCAAUAUUUAAUAUUUAAAGAUUUCUUUAAAUUUGGCUCAAAAUGAUUUUUCUGGCCAAUCUCAGGAUUAACAGUUGGUGUAGAAUAGUUCUCCUACCAUCAUUACAGUUGUUAACCUGAUUACCAAGGACACCUAGGGCCAUAGGUAAGGAGUUCUGUUAUCAGGUGAAAUGAUCCUAUGGGAGAAUAACCCCAAUUAAAUGACUGUAAAUGAUGAUGCUCGCCAAAAUCCCUAGGAGUCCUGAGAAAGGGCGAGGCCCAGCAGGAGCUCCCUGAUAUCCCCGAUUUUAUUAUGAACCAGGAGUUGGUCUUCUCGCUGUGCUUGGCUAUAGAUGGGUUUUGUGCAGGGCUAUGCACCAAGAGGACAGCAUCCAAGCUUGGCAAGGGUGGCUUUAGAGAAGCUGUUUUCCGUCUCGGACUUUUUAAUGCACCUAAGUGAAUAAAGCCCUCCCUACAGAUCUGCCGAUACCACCCCUUCCAGGCUCCAGUGGCCAAGCUUAGUCCAGCUUUUUUUUUUUUUCCUUUUUUCGGAGCUGGGGACCGAACCAAGGGCCUUGCACUUGCCAGGCAAGUGCUCUACCUCUGAGCUAAAUCCCCAACCCCUUAGUCCAGCUUUUGAUAAGGGAUCAUCAAGUUUAGUGAGAACCAAUCAUCGUUUACCUGAGUCUCAAGCACACCUGGGGUUUUGACAAUGGGAGAGUGGCCAUCUAGACAGUGAACAUAGCUACAUCAGGAUCAUGGCAUUUAGGCUGCCCUAAGAGCUGUGUUACAAAAGAACACAUAAGGCAAAUGGCCCUGAAGGAAACCCCCUGGUGCAUUGUUUACUUUGAAUAAAAAUAACAAAGCCCUUUCUUGCUUGUGAAUUACUGUGUCAGGCACUUAACCAUCCUCUCUGUGCACACAGCAGACUGCAGCUUUGUUAAUUAUUUUUAAUAGAUUCCCACCAACUUCUUGGAAUCCUUUUCUGUUUCAAAAAACAAAAACUAAAAAAUAGAUGGUAGCUGACAGGAAUCGUGGUCAUAUUCUCAAUGAUUGUGCUAGAAGCAUUUUAUAGUAAGUGGAUUUUGAAUGUGGAAGACUGUGUGAACUCUGUGGCUAAGUUGGGGUGAGAUGACUUAAUGGAGGGUGCUAUGCACUCACAUUUGAAUCAACUCAAGGUCUGUCUCAUAAAAAUGUCCAAACCAUGCCUGGGUUGCUAGUGUUUGAGUUGGACCUUCCCAUUUUUCUUCUUGUGUUAGACUUGAAUGAUAAGAAACCUCAUGCAGUUUGGAAAGGCAGGCUUGUCAGAGGCCAUCGUCCUGGAUGUUGUGGCUCAGAUGUGUUCACAAGUCGCUCCACAUUGCUGGCUGCAUGCACACAGAAGCCAUAAAGCUUUCCUAGGGGCUCUCAUUUUGUGCACGCGGCAGAAAUCUGGUACCCCCUACUGUUAGCCCACUUGGCCUUUCAGGCAGCCGUCCUGACCAUAUAUAUAUAUAUACAUAUAUAUAUAUAUGUAUAUGUAUAUAUAUAUUCUCACAUACAACUCAUGCACACUUACACCUGUAUACACCUUAUUGAUUCUGUGAGACUGGUGUCCAGUCAGUUCUAAGAUCUGUCUGUCUCCCUCAUACUCCACGAUACUGAGGUUACAGACACAUUGGCACCACGCCUAAUUUGCAGGUGGGUUCUGGGCAUUUGAACUCAGGUCCUCAUGCUUGCACAAAAGUCAUUUCACCACUGAGCCAUCUCUUCUGUCCCUCUAAUUUGUUGACCUGAGACAAAAGCCUGGCAGCUUAAAACAAAGACUUUUUUUCUUUUUUUUUUUUCGGAGCUGGGGACCGAACCCAGGGCCUUGCGCUUGCUAGGCAAGCGCUCUACCACUGAGCUAAAUCCCCAACCCCAAAACAAAGAUUUUUUUUAUAAUGCAUUUUUCCACCAGCAGGCUGUCAAGAUUUUUCCAACGUUUUGAUUCUUUAAUUGGUAGAGAAAAUAAAGCUGACCAAGUCUCCUAAAUGGUAAUAUAAUAAUAAUAAUAAUAAUAAUAAUAAUAAUAAUAAUAAUAAUAUAAGGGUGCUGCUUACUGCCUUGUUCACUGUGAUUUGCUUAGCCUGCUUUUCUAUAGCACAAGGGACCCCCCAGCCCAUCCAUGGCCCCAUCCACAAUGCCCUCCCACAUCAAUGGCUGAUGAAGAAAAUGCCUUACAGGCUUGCCUGCGGCCCAGUCUUACGUAACAUUUUUAAAUUGUGGUUCUCUCCUCUGAGAUGACUCCAGUUUGUGUCAAAUUGACAUAAAACUAACCAGAACAUGAAUGUUGACUGAAAAAAUUCUGAAGAAUAAACUGAUAAUGGAAAUCUGAUUUCCUUUUCUUUUUUUUAAGAUUUUUUUUUUCUGAGUACACUGUCACUGUGUUCACACACACCAGAAGAGGGCAUCAGAUCCCAUUACAGAUGGUUGUGAGCCACCAUGUGGUUGCUGGGAAUUGAACUCAGGACCUCUGGAGGAGCAGUCAGUGCUCCUAACCACUGAGCCAUCUCCCCAGCCCGAAAAUCUGAUUCCUUAACUUCCAAUCUUAAGUACUAAAUUUUUCAUUUCUAAUUCAGUAUUCUUGGACCUUAGCCUAGGAGUCUUUCAAGAAGGGAUUUAUAAUAUCUUUCAGCAGUUUAGUGUUACACUGAGCCACAUAAAAUUAAUGUUUUUGAGAGUUAAAGGCAGCUUAAUAUGCAUAAUGUAUGGUUUCUCCUAUCACCAAAGUACAGGUGGCUUGGUCUACAUUGAACAGUUGUCGUACAUGCAAGUCUCUGUGUAAGACUUAAGAUGGUGUUGUAAUAUCAUAAAGAAAGAAUCAAGCAUAAGGAGUUCAUGGUGAUGAGAGUGAAGGACAAGCUGCUCGGGUCUCCUGUCUGAGAGUGGAGCUGCUUCCUCACAGAUCCGAGUACAGAGGUGAGGCCAGUGUCAGUCUGUCCCUUCUUUGGCCUCCCCAAAUAGAGAGAGAGAUUGGUCCAUUAACUUAUCAAAAGCGUGUUUUCAGUUUAUAUUCUUGUAGAAUAUAGGUUAUAUAAAAAUUUAAAAAUAAUAUAUACAUACAUGCAUACAUACAUACAUACCUACAUACAUGCAUAUAUACAUACAUGAAUGACAGGAAAAGCCACACUUAAAAAGACCUUAGGAACUAACCUGGUGCGGCUUGUUACCACUCCAUAGGUGCUGAAAGCACACAGUAAGCUCCUUGGUUUAGAUGAAGAUGUUUUAAAAUAACACAAGUCACAAUAGGAUGAUAAAGGAAGAACAAAGAUUUAAAAAAAAAAAAACAGAGCACUUUUUUCUUCUCUCUCAGUGCCCCUUCCUCUCUCCUACUCACCCCCUUUCCCCAUGGCAACUUCCCUGGCCUUGGUGCUUGGGGCCAGUGACCUUGCCCACCAGAAAGCAUCUUCCCAAUAAACCGGUCUUUAAUAUAAAAAAAGAAAUAUUUGAAGAAGCAAUUGCUGAUAAAUUUUAAAAAUUGAUUGAUACCAGCAACAUAACUUAAAAAUUCAUAAAAUAUUAAAAAGAUAAAUAGAUCUGGAAAUUAAAAAUAUAAAGCCUUAUAAAUCAUAAAUCCAACCAGCUACAUCUAUACCCAAAACAACAAGCCUGUCAAAAACCUAUACGCAUAGUUGUACCAUACUUGAAUUUCUGAGAAGAAAUUAUUUUGAAGGCAACCAGAGAAAUAAUAGCAACAUUAAUGCAGAAAGUGAAGAUAAAAAUUAUAGUCAUUGUCCACCAGAACGUGUAGUAACUUGAAGGUAUCUUUAACAUGACCUACGGGAAGAAACUACUAACCCAUAAUUGUACACACAAAGUAAAGUAAAGAGAGUACAGCCUUGUGCAGGGAAACAAAUGUUGAGUUCACAUCAUCUGUGUACUCAGUUCUAUCAGUGGAUCAAUUUCAUGAUAAAACGUUUUUCAGGCAGGAAAGACUAUGACACCAGAGAGAAACCGGGAUCUAUACUGUGCAGAAAACAUAAGAAUCAAAUAAAUGAAAGUUUAAAUAAUUUCUAUUUUAACAUUCUCUAAAAGAAAAUUUGCAGUGGUAAAAAUAGUAUCAAUAGUCUAUGUGUUUACAGAACACACAGAAGUAAAAUAUGUGCUAAUGCUAAUAACAGCACCACAAAGUUAGGGAGGAAAGUUGAGAAUUUAUUAUGCUAAGGUCUUCAUAGUGCAUGUAAUUUGAAUGUAGACUCUGAUUCAUUAAAAGCGUACACUGUAAACACCGGGGUAACUACAGGUAUUAAACAUAAUUGUGAGGCUCUUUCAUAUGAACACAAUCUGCCCUCCAGGUCAAGGAAGACCUGGGAUUUUAGAACCAUGAGGUCCUUUACUGCAGGGACAGCACUGGGGUCUCCUGGGAAGUCAGAGUAGAGCUGACCCGGGAUGUAGGUCUGGCCUUGUUGGAGGACGUGCAUCACUGUACAGCUGGGCUGUGACGUUUUACGCUUAAGCUCCGCCCAGGGCGGAAGACGUCACUUCCUGGAUGCCUUCUCCUGCACCGUGCCUGCCUGCAGCUGCCAUGCUUCCUGCUAAGAUGAUGAUGGACUGAACAUUCAGCUCCGAUGAAAUGUUCACCUUUUCACAGCAAUGAAACCCUAACUAAGGCAGUGGUUCUUGGUGGCUUGAAGUCUAAUGUAGGGAAAUUCAUUAAAUGCUAACAAAAUGCUUUUCAAAGAGAAUAACAAGGAAUGAGUAAUAAUUCAACCGUAAUGAUGAAGUGAAUAAUAAAAAUGUCCAAUUUAUAACAGAAAUGCCACAGAUUUUAAUAUUAAACACAUAAAAAAUACAUUAAUCAUGAAUUGUUUAAAUACACCAAUUAAAAGACAGCAAGUAUUCAGCUGGUUAAAAAGCAACAUUAAACUUUGUACUGUCUACAAGGAUGUUUAUGGUGCAUACCUUAACCAAUAGAAUUCUGACGUCGCUAUACUAAUGUUGAACCAAGUAUAACUCAGAAGAUAAAAUUAUGAAGAAUGAUGUUGCUUGGGAGGAAAAGGAUAAUUACUAAGAAUAUAUAGCAAUCCAAAAAGUAUGUGCAUGGAAUGUGAGAGUUUAUAAGGAGGUGGAAUAAAGCCUCAAAAAGAGUCCAGGUGGUGGUGGCUCACGCCUUUAAUCCCAGCACUUGGGAGGCAGAGGCAAGAGGAUCUCUGUGAAUUCCAGCCAAGCCUGGUGUACAGAGAGUUCCAGGACAGCCAGGACUACACAGAGAAACUCUGUCUCAACAAACAACAAACAAACAAAGCUUAAAACAAAAAGCAGAAGAAAAUGUGCAAACCCACAAAUGUAAAUUCAGGACUCCAUUUUUGAGCUGUGCAGGGUGGUUUUCAUGGCUGUAAUCCCAGCAUUCAGGAGUCAGAGGCAAGAGGAUUAGAUGUUUGACCCCAAGCUACCCUCAUUCCCA